GUUGUAAGCUCCUGUUUAGAGGAGCUAAAUCCAUUUUAUACAAGGUUUGUGUCACAGUAUUAUAGAUUAACUUGAGAUCACUUCUGCAUCUUUCCUUCUCUGACAGUUUCCUUCUGUUUUAGAUUUGAAAAAGAGUUUUCACAGCACACUGUCUCUCUGUUGACCUCUGACCUGUUGGACUGCUGUCUUUGGGUAGAAUAUCACGUCACCUAUAUCAACAGUUUCAGUUCACUCAAAGAGAAUUUGCAGUGCUAUAAAGAGAGCUGUUCAGCUCAGGUGGAGAAGCUGGAAAAAGAAGUGGAUGGACUGACUCAGAGACUCAGACAGACCCUGAUGGAUCAUUUCAAAUCUGAGCUCAAGCCUUACAUGGAUGGCAUGAUGACAAAAAAAUGGCUGAAAACAGAUGAAGAUUUUAAAGAAGUGAUUUCUAGAGUAGAGAAUUACUCUGGGCUCUGUAAAUCCAUGAGAGCUCCAUCAGCCCAAGUGAGUCUCCACUCAUCUGCUCAGAGAUGCUUUUUAAUAACAGCUGCAGAGAGCCACUUUAAACACAGUGUCUAUGUUUACAGAUUUUUGUGAAUGAUGUGCACUAUUAUGUAGCCAAAGAAUAUGUCUCCCAGUUGAUGAAGAAAAAAUAUUCAUGCAAAAAACCCAAAAACGAAGAUGCUGCCAUAAAACUGAAAGAACAGUGGAAUGAAC
rnacentral:lncRNA from 1 species